rnacentral:rRNA from 1 species
GGAUGCGAUCAUACCAGCACUAAAGCACCGGAUCCCAUCAGAACUCCGAACCUAAGCGUGCUUGGGCGAGAGUAGUACUAGGAUGGGUGACCUCCUGGGAAGUCCUCGUGUUGCAUUCC